rnacentral:rRNA from 1 species
CAGUCGCCACGGGAAUACGUAGGGUGCGAGCGUUAAUCGGAAUUACUGGGCGUAAAGCGUGCGCAGGCGGUUUUGUAAGACAGAGGUGAAAUCCCCGGGCUCAACCUGGGAACUGCCUUUGUGACUGCAAGGCUAGAGUACGGCAGAGGGGGAUGGAAUUCCGCGUGUAGCAGUGAAAUGCGUAGAUAUGCGGAGGAACACCGAUGGCGAAGGCAAUCCCCUGGGCCUGUACUGACGCUCAUGCACGAAAGCGUGGGGAGCAAACAGGAUUAGAUACCCCUGUAGUCCCUGUCUCUUAUAC